CCUACGGGGGGCUGCAGUUUCGAAUCAUUCACAAUGGGCGAAAGCCUGAUGGUGCGACGCCGCGUGAGGGAUGAAGGUCUUCGGAUUGUAAACCUCUGUCACCGGGGAAGAAACGCUUCAAGUUAAUAGUUUGAAGCCUGACUUAACCCGGAGAGGAAGCAGUGGCUAACUCUGUGCCAGCAGCCGCGGUAAUACAGAGACUGCAAGCGUCGUUCGGAUUCCGCAGGCGGCCAAGGGGGUCAGGUGGCAAAGCCCGGAGCUUAACUCCGGAAUUGCUCCUCAAACUACAUGGCUAGAGCAUUGGAGAGGGUAGCAGAAUUCACGGUGUAGCAGUGAAAUGCGUAGAUAUCGUGAGGAAUACCAGAGGCGAAGGCGGCUACCUGGACAAUUGCUGACGCUCAGGCACGAAAGCGUGGGGAGCAAAAGGGAUUAGAUACCCUUGUAGUC
rnacentral:rRNA from 1 species